GAUGAACGCUGGCGGCGUGCCUAAUACAUGCAAGUCGAGCGAACAGACGCGGAGCUUGUUCCUCUGACGUUAGCGGCGGGCGGGUGUGUAACACGUGGAUAACCUACCUGUCAGACUGAGAUCACUUCGGGACAGCGGAGCUAAUACCGGAUAAUAUAUUGCACCACAUGGUUCAAUGGUGAAAGACGGUUUUGCUGUCACUUCUAGCUGGAUCCGCGCCGCAUGAGCUAGUUGUUAAUGUAAAGGCUUACCAAGGCAACGAUGCGUUGCCGACCUCAGAGGGUGAUAGCCCACACUGGAACGGAGACACGGUCCAGACGCCUACGGGAGGCAGCAGUAUCGUAUCUUCCGCAACGGUCGAAAGCCUUACGGAGCAACGCCGCGUGAGUUACGAAGGCCUCCGGAGCGUAAAACCCUCUUAUUAGUGAAGAACAACUGUGGCAGUAACCAUGCACUGCUUGACGGUACCUAAUCAGAAAGCCACGGCUAACUACGUG
rnacentral:rRNA from 1 species